UGGGGAAUUUUGGACAAUGGGCGAAAGCCUGAUCCAGCAAUGCCGCGUGUGUGAAGAAGGCCUUCGGGUUGUAAAGCACUUUUGUCCGGAAAGAAAACGCCGUGGUUAAUACCCGUGGCGGAUGACGGUACCGGAAGAAUAAGCACCGGCUAACUACGUGCCAGCAGCCGCGGUAAUACGUAGGGUGCAAGCGUUAAUCGGAAUUACUGGGCGUAAAGCGUGCGCAGGCGGUCCGCUAAGACAGAUGUGAAAUCCCCGGGCUUAACCUGGGAACUGCAUUUGUGACUGGCGGGCUAGAGUAUGGCAGAGGGGGGUAGAAUUCCACGUGUAGCAGUGAGAUGCGUAGAGAUGUGGAGGAAUACCGAUGGCGAAGGCAGCCCCCUGGGCCAAUACUGACGCUCAUGCACGAAAAGCGUGGGGAGCAAACAGGAUUAGAUACCCUGGUAGUCCACGCCCUAAACGAUGUCAACUAGUUGUCGGGUCUUCAUUGACUUGGUAACGUAGCUAACGCGUGAAGUUGACCGCCUGGGGAGUACGGUCGCAAGAUUAAAAACUCAAAU
rnacentral:rRNA from 1 species